UGGCGCGGUCGGCGGGGAAACGCGAAACGGCGGAGCGGAGCGGAGCGGGAGGCGCCGGGGAAACCCGGAGUGCGGAGACACGGAGCGGGGCUCCGGCGGAAAGGGGCCGCUCGGGCCGGGGGAUGCGGCGUGGAGAGGGCUUGAGGGAUGCGGAGCUCCUGCUGGAGCGGGUGGGGCUGCUCCUGACCCAGGGAGCCUCGGAGACGGGCAGCACGGGGAGCGAGGGACCGCAGAGGGAAAUGACCUGUGAAUGAGGAAGGGAAGGAGGACAGAGGGACGGGGAAAGCAUGUGAUGGUAGGAAAGGAGCUCAGAAAUCAUACUCUGAUAGUGGCGUUGGUUGAAAUCAGGCAAUCGAAAGCCCUACAGAUCUAGCUAAAGAAAGGCAGCUGAGUGCUUGGUUGUUUUAUUUUUCAUUCUACUUUUCGUUCUCAUUUUCAGCUCUGUUCCGGCUCUCCAGUCUUAAGGAGAAGGAAGAACUGAGCCAUGCUUGUGGUGGGAAUCAGGCUUCGGCGUGAGCCCUCCGAGCGGUCCCAGCAGAUGGUGCUGUGAUCCUUCCAGAGGUGUAAAGCAAUUCUGGUAACUGCAAAAUGCACUUCACAGAAGGUUUGGUUGCAAGCAGAUGCCAGCCUCUCACUGCUCAUCUGGAGAUGCACACUUUAUGUGAACAGAGUAAAGAACUGAUUUCUGAAAAAUAAAU